UACGUAGGCAGCAAACGUUGUUCGGAGUUACUGGGCGUAAAGAGUACGUAGCGGUUUGCCAAGUUUGGUGUGAAAUCUCCUGGCUUAACUGGGAGGGUGCGCCGAAUACUGGCGGGCUUGAGUAUUGGAGAGGAAAGCGGAAUUCCUGGUGUAGCGGUGAAAUGCGUAGAUAUCAGGAGGAACACCGGUGGUGUAGACGGCUUUCUGGACAAUCACUGACGCUGAGGUACGAAAGCGUGGGUAGCAAACAGG
rnacentral:rRNA from 1 species